AUUGAACGCUGGCGGCAGGCCUAACACAUGCAAGUCGAACGAGUGGCAGAGGGGUGAGUAAUGUCUGGGAAACUGCCUGAGGGAGGGGGAUAACUACUGGAAACGGUCUCAAAUACCGCAUACUAUCAGAUGUGCCCAUAUGGGAUUAGCUAGUAGGUGGGGUAAAGGCUCACCUAGGCGACGAUCCCUAGCUGGUCUGAGAGGAUGACCAGCCACACUGGAACUGAGACACGGUCCAGACUCCUACGGGAGGCAGCAGUGGGGAAUAUUGCACAAUGGGCGCAAGCCUGAUGCAGCCAUGCCGCGUGUAUGAAGAAGGCCUUCGGGUUAUAAAGUACUUUCAGCGGGGAGGCGUUACCCGCAGAAGAAGCACCGGCUAACUCCGUGCCAGCAGCCGCGGUAAUUC
rnacentral:rRNA from 1 species